rfam:Myotis lucifugus cont2.61225, whole genome shotgun sequence.
GCCGGUGUGGCUCAGUGGUUGAGCGUCAACCUAUGAACCUGGAGGUCACGGGUUCGAUUCCUGGUCAGGGCA